rnacentral:rRNA from 1 species
GACGAACGCUGGCGGCGUGCUUAACACAUGCAAGUCGAACGGAAAGGCCCUGCUUUUGUGGGGUGCUCGAGUGGCGAACGGGUGAGUAACACGUGAGUAACCUGCCCUUGACUUUGGGAUAACUUCAGGAAACUGGGGCUAAUACCGGAUAGGAGCUCCUGCUGCAUGGUGGGGGUUGGAAAGUUUCGGCGGUUGGGGAUGGACUCGCGGCUUAUCAGCUUGUUGGUGGGGUAGUGGCUUACCAAGGCUUUGACGGGUAGCCGGCCUGAGAGGGUGACCGGGGACAUUGGGACUGAGAUACGGCGCCGAGUCCUAUGGGAGGCAGAGGUGGGGAAUAUUGCGCAAUGGGGGGAAGCCUGAUGCAGAAACGCCGCGUGCGGGAUAACGGGCUUCGGGUUGUAAACCGCUUUCGCCUGUGACGAAGCGUGAGUGACGGUAAUGGGUAAAGAAGCACCGGCUAACUACGUG